rnacentral:ribozyme from 1 species
CCCAACCAUGCCUGCUACCUUGACGUGGUGGUCGGGCUUGCCUAUCGUGAUUACUCAACCGAACUAUAUUAGCUGGAACGUAUGUUCCUGUAUGCAGGUUGAUGGGAGAACGGUAAGACUAAAAGCAGU